GUUACGUACAUUUCCUACAUCUACCACCAGCAUUUCUCAGCCAUCCCUCCACUGCUGCUUCGGGUUCUCGACUGAUCAGGAACUGUCCCGGGCAGUCAUGAGGAAUCCGUCUUCACAAACUGCAGGUGACAAAGAAACUGACCAGAGACCGCCACAUCUGGCAUCUGUCAAGAGCUGAG